UGGAAAUAGAGGAAACGGACAAGUAAAAGAGUGUUUGUAAAUUCAUUAACAAUUUGAGCUCGGUGUGAUAAAUUUUCUUUGUCCUGAAGAGCAGGAACACAUGAUGUUGGUGCGAAGAUGAAGUUAACCAAGUAUUCUAGUGCGGAUGAGAAUGCAAUAAGGAGCUUCUAAGAGAAAA